rnacentral:rRNA from 1 species
UGCAGUCGAACGAGUUCUGAUUAUUGAAAGGUGCUUGCAUCUUGAUUUAAUUUUGAACGAGUGGCGGACGGGUGAGUAACACGUGGGUAACCUGCCCUUAAGUGGGGGAUAACAUUUGGAAACAGAUGCUAAUACCGCAUAAAUCCAAGAACCGCAUGGUUCUUGGCUGAAAGAUGGCGUAAGCUAUCGCUUUUGGAUGGACCCGCGGCGUAUUAGCUAGUUGGUGAGGUAACGGCUCACCAAGGCAAUGAUACGUAGCCGAACUGAGAGGUUGAUCGGCCACAUUGGGACUGAGACACGGCCCAAACUCCUACGGGAGGCAGCAGUAGGGAAUCUUCCACAAUGGACGCAAGUCUGAUGGAGCAACGCCGCGUGAGUGAAGAAGGCUUUCGGGUCGUAAAACUCUGUUGUUGGAGAAGAAUGGUCGGCAGAGUAACUGUUGUCGGCGUGACGGUAUCCAACCAGAAAGCCACGGCUAACUACGUGCCAGCAGCCGCGGUAAUACGUAGGUGGCAAGCGUUAUCCGGAUUUAUUGGGCGUAAAGCGAGCGCAGGCGGUUUUUUAAGUCUGAUGUGAAAGCCCUCGGCUUAACCGAGGAAGUGCAUCGGAAACUGGGAAACUUGAGUGCAGAAGAGGACAGUGGAACUCCAUGUGUAGCGGUGAAAUGCGUAGAUAUAUGGAAGAACACCAGUGGCGAAGGCGGCUGUCUGGUCUGUAACUGACGCUGAGGCUCGAAAGCAUGGGUAGCGAACAGGAUUAGAUACCCUGGUAGUCCAUGCCGUAAACGAUGAAUGCUAGGUGUUGGAGGGUUUCCGCCCUUCAGUGCCGCAGCUAACGCAUUAAGCAUUCCGCCUGGGGAGUACGACCGCAAGGUUGAAACUCAAAGGAAUUGACGGGGGCCCGCACAAGCGGUGGAGCAUGUGGUUUAAUUCGAAGCAACGCGAAGAACCUUACCAGGUCUUGACAUCUUUUGAUCACCUGAGAGAUCAGGUUUCCCCUUCGGGGGCAAAAUGACAGGUGGUGCAUGGUUGUCGUCAGCUCGUGUCGUGAGAUGUUGGGUUAAGUCCCGCAACGAGCGCAACCCUUAUGACUAGUUGCCAGCAUUUAGUUGGGCACUCUAGUAAGACUGCCGGUGACAAACCGGAGGAAGGUGGGGAUGACGUCAAAUCAUCAUGCCCCUUAUGACCUGGGCUACACACGUGCUACAAUGGAUGGUACAACGAGUUGCGAGACCGCGAGGUCAAGCUAAUCUCUUAAAGCCAUUCUCAGUUCGGACUGUAGGCUGCAACUCGCCUACACGAAGUCGGAAUCGCUAGUAAUCGCGGAUCAGCACGCCGCGGUGAAUACGUUCCCGGGCCUUGUACACACCGCCCGUCACACCAUGAGAGUUUGUAACACCCGAAGCCGGUGGCGUAACCCUUU